rnacentral:pre_miRNA from 13 species
CUCCCGUGCCUGCUGUGCUGAUAAUCAGUGUCUGUUUCCAGCUGGCUCAGUUCAGCAGGAACAGGGG